rnacentral:lncRNA from 1 species
CAAGGAGAACCAGUCUGAGUCUCAAAACUGAAGAACUUGGAGUCUGAUGUUUGAGGGCAGGAAGCAUCCAGCACGGGAGAUAGAUAUAGGCUGGGAGGCUAGGCCAGUCUCACCUUUUCACAUUUUUCUGCCUGCUUUGUAUUCCAGCUGUGCUGGCAGCUGAUUAGAUUGUGCCCACCAGAUUAAGAGUGGGUCUUUCUUCUCCAGCCCACUGACUCAAAUGUUAAUCUCCUUUGGCAACACUGUUACAGACACACCCAGGAUCAAUACUUUGCAUCCUUCAAUCCAAUCAAGUUGACACUCAGUAUUAAUCAUCAUACUGAGAAGUCCAUAGGUAGGCCAGGCACUGGUUUGGUAUGUCAAGGCUUUGUCUCUCCUUUUCUGUGUUUCCCUGGUCUCUGUCCUUCUCUGUCAGUAGACCUUCCCUUCAGGCUUGUAGCAUGAUGCUGGCAACAGUUCUGAGGAAAAUGAAGAAACAUUUCCCAGAAACCUUUCUGGAGUUGGGUCAUGUACUUGUGCCUAAACCAAUCAAUCUUUGGCAAGGAGAACAGGACUACCAGGACCUCUCUUACAUCAGUUAGGACCCAUCCCCUAUGGUCUGAAAUGGGGUCAGCCCCAUCAAGAAGAAUUGAUACCUGGACAAAAUCUGGGCUCUGUUAGAAAGUGGAAGGAUAGUAGGGAGCACAUAUUCGGUGAGCCAUCACAGUAUCUGUUCCAAGAGCUGAUGCAAUUUGGAUACUUGUCCCCUCCAUAUCUCACAC